GCUCGUGUUUUGCUCCCAUCAAGUGCCGUGCUCGCCAAAGGUGCUGCACCCUUCCCAGGAAACCACUGACCAAUCAUUCGCCGGCGCGCUCCGCCCCGAUCCGUUCAUCGCCGGCGCGCUCCGCCUCAACCCGUCCUUGUUUCUUCCCCAACAUAGAACAAUUCCUGGACCGUAGCCUCCCCACCGCCGGCCUCGUCGCUGGUCAACGGACACCGCCGCCGCGCUUGCGCCGGGUGGUGCUGCGGGCUGCUUCCGUAGUCUCCCCACCGCUGGCCGCGUCGCUGGCCAGCGGACGCCGCCGCCACGCUUGCACCGGGUGGUGCUGCGAGAUUCUUCCGCUUCUGCCGUCGCGGAGGAGUCCUCGCGGCCGCGGCCGCGCGGGGGCGGCUGGAGUCGCUGAGCUGGGUGGCCGGGGUGCUUGGCACGCAGAGUGGGGGACGAGGGAAAGGGCAAGCUCGUCGACAUCCUCGCCUAGCGAUUCGAUGUCGUCGCCCGGUGCCAGGUCUAUCUCUCUCGUGCGCGGGCGCUCUGCUAUUUAAUGCGUCCUUUCCCUCUAGUCCGGAUGGUGUUCGAUGAAUUGCUCCCGUCUUGCGGGGAUGGCGAUGAUUCCAACUUUGAGGGCUAUGCGUUUCGUCGUCAUUUUAUCAUGGGUUCUUUCUGUUGCCCAUGUCAAACAUGGAGGCUCGUUCGGUUUUCUGGGUGUCAUCUUGAAAUACUCUGAAUUUUUAUGCGCACAGGAGCCUGUAAGAAAGGGCAAGACAGAUUUCCAUAAGCAUCCAGUGAAUAAAGCUAAUUUAUUGAAAUGCUCCGAGGUUGAUCUGCACUGGUUAAAUUUGGGUCAAAUUGCUUCUAUUGGCCUCAUCUCCGGCACGAGUCCGAGCCUCCGUUUUCGCCAUUGGGAAGAAUCCUACCACUUGCAGCCGCUCCCUGUGGCAUCGUUCUUGCGCCUGCCGGUCCAGGUCCUCGUGGGGCUGCAGGAGAGCGGGCUACCGCCCACAGGUUCUGCCUCUGGAGCAGCAAUUCUUCCAUCAAUUUUGGCACCAUUUUCCUGGAAUUACCAUACUCCAUCUUCCUGGAAUUAUCAUCUUGCGUCAAAUAAAUGCUCAGCCUUCCCCUCUCUUUUCUAUUAAUUUAUUUCCAUCUUUUGACUUGAUUUUUCAGAGUUUUGUACCAGGCACACCAACUGUGCACUUCAUAUUGAUUUCUUAAGUGAUAAAAUUCUUAUUUUACGUGGUAAAAUUUAAGAUAGGAAUCUUCUGAAGCUAAGUGCAAAACUACAUGGGCGUAGACCCAGCCCCUAGGAGCCUUGCACCUCCUCGGUUUCAUUUUCUUGUAGCCGGAGAGCACUGUCUGUGUUGUUUCCCUCUAAUUCCAUCUCUAAUAAUUUAGUCUAUGGGAUUAAUUAUUUUUCAUACCAUGUGGUAAGUGGGCUAACUGGUUAAUAUCGGUGCAUGAAGUGUGAAGUUUUGUCUCAGUUUACUCUUCACUUUGAAGAGGGCACCCAUAAGAUAUGCGCCAAGCACCAUUCAUGCCAAUGAACAGGCUCUUCUUGUUUGGGUGGUUGGCUCUUUUUAUAAAUUGUACGCAGAUACCUAAGUACUUCCAUUCUCAUGUUUUGAUUUGGAGAAAAAACAAAAUUGUCAUUCUAAUGUUGCCUGUUAACAACACCGUUUCUUUUUUUGGAGCGGCACUUUUGUUUUCCAUGGCGCAUAUUGAUAUUUUUAAUUUGAUUUUCUACCUCUGUCAAUAUUGGGGCAUAAUGAAGAUGGACAGGUAACUUGUUUUCUCAAAAUGAGGGAAGAGAGAGAGACUUGCUGAUGAGCUUUAUAUGAAACUGAGCUAGUUAAUUAGUUAUCUUUGUUCAUGAGUUAGGUGAUUAGCUAUCUUCAAAUAAUAGAAGUUUGCAGUUUUGAGGUGCUCCAUCGUUUGUUCAUGCAUACGGUCUGUGAAAGCACCAUUUCUUAUGUGAUGUGCACACACACCUAGCGUUCAGUAUGUUAACUACUACUGAUCUUGGUGGAAGAUGUAUAUUUUGUACUUAAUUUUUUAGGAAAGGCAAGAAGUGCAGAAUGAAGAUGAUGAUUUUUUAGGAAAGGUAGCCAAGUCAUUACUUUUGCAAGUCUGUGGAAAAGAAGGGGAGGAGGCUCCUGUGUCCGCUGAACAAGAGUCGAUCCAGCGCCUUGCGCCUCCUCGAUCUGGUGCUGUCCGCGCCCCUCCAUCCUAGUCUAAUUGUACUAUUCGAGUAGGAAUAGAAACCGGCUCACAACUUCCUGCCCGUCACAACCACAACAAAAGGGCGACUAGAAACAAGCAGCAGGGUCCAGUAUCAAAGGAACCAGCUGUUGCACCUAGGCGUUGUAAAAAGAAAACGGCACACAUUAGUUCUAAAAAGAAAUACACUUUCAGGCAAUAGUUCUGUUUUUUAUCCUAGGAUCUAUAGAUAAUUAUAUAUGACCAUGGCCUAACAGACAAUGAAAAUGAGUGAUUUAUCUGCUAUAAGUUCAUAAGACAACUGGAUAUCUGAGAAUCUUUGUUGCCGUCGCCUGGAACCAUUGCACCUUUUGCUCACGCACCAUUCCCUAACACGCGUGGCUCUUUUUAUAAAUCAUAUCCAAGUAUGCAAUAUCCAUAAUUAAGCAGAUUGUUUCAAAGUAUCCAAAUCAGUAAGCCGAGCAAACAGGCUAUUUCUUCAUGUGCAAAAUUUGGAGUACUAGUAAGCUGCCAAAUAUGAUUACGUGCUAUUGCUUCACUCUAUUUCUAGUUGAUUUAUUUUUGGAAGUACAGAAGCUUCAAGUUUGGAGGGCCGAAUUUCUAAUGAGGAGGGAACAGAACUGCUGCGUUUAGCUCCAAGUUUCCUGCAUUAUGAACGACGAGAAUGGCCUAAUGUAAGAACUUUGGUUCUUGCGUUGGUAUCUGUUCAGAAGGAUGUCAAGUCUCCAUCUUACAAUCUGAUGGAUAAACCCCAUGAUGGUGCAUUUACCUCAUCAUCUCUAGCCAGUUGACUCUAGAAUUCCACAUAUUGCAGUAAGGACCUUACUGCAAUAUGUGGAAUUCUAGAGUCAACUGGCUAGAGAUGAUGAGGGAACUGCAAAUGAGGGUGGUUCUAAGAUCCGUGAAGCUUAUCUCAUAUUCCGACUUAUUUGCGGAUGCUGAAACUGUAUUCGCGGCUCAACACCUGCAUCCCAUGGAUUUGCCUUCUCUGAACUUGUAUUCAAUGCACCGGACAGAAAUAAACUGAGCACCGUUUCACCUUCAGAGUAGGCACGGCUAAAUUUGAUGGGCUUUUUUCUUUGCUUCUCUAAUGUUAGUGAUUAGUGGAGCAUAGAUGAAGUGAAUAUAGUGUUGUUCUUGAUUGGUUUUCUCAUAAAUGUGGAGCAUGUGCAAUUUUAUGGCACUGAUUUGGUUUAUGGCACCGUCGGGGAAUGAACUGAGCACGGUUUGUGAUUCAGACAGGCCCCUUUCAUUUAUUUGUGGCUACUAAAUUCGAUUUUUUUUUUUUUUGCUUCUCUCCUAUUUGUGAUAAGAGAUAGGGAUAGUGGAGACUAUAAGAACAAUCCAAGUCUGUGUUCGUCAUUUGAUUCUCUGGUAAAUGAAUCAUAACUUCUAUUUUCUGCAUAAGCAUUUGGAGGGCUCCGUUGCACAUAUUUUCCAGCAUAUGUUCCCUGGCAUAAAAAAGUGAGUUAAAAAAUGGACUUAUGUAAGUGACGACCAUGCAUGUAUUGAGCAGAUGGCAGAUAAAAGACUAGAAAAGCCUCUCGUGACCGGGUUUGAUGGGAAAAAGGGUUCAAUGCAUCAAUGCAUAGUGCACGGUGGAAGAAAACGAGGCACUAAAUGAGAAGUUUCCGUUACGGUUAUGAGAGAGAAGAAGAGGUCCGGCACGGGGAUGGAACCUAACAUAAAUUGGCUCAAACUCAUCACGUGAUUCGAAAAAGGUGGUCACAUGUGACCAAAGAGGUGGUCACAUGUCUCGAAAGAUGUGAAAAGCUGAAUCCUAUAGGCUAGAGUAGGCCAGGCUAGGUUGCCUAAAAUGAUACAUGUGUAAGAGUAAAGGUACCGGUCCCCCUUGCUAUUUUGAAUUAUGGGUGUGUAGAAACCAAACAAAGUGGAUCCUUUUAGGUAAAAAGUGCGGAUCUCAAUGCGAAUGAGUGGUUCCGAUUACACCCUCCACUACUUACAAACAUAUAUAUAUGUUGCAACCAGUCAUCAAAUGAUCAUGGCAAAAGUUCAAGUCCAAUUUCUUUUAGAUUCUCAGUUAUAUUUUUCUAAAUUCAAGUUUCUGUCCUCUGAAUUUCCCUUCUAUGUUAUUGUUACUUGCAGGACUUGUCAUAACCAUUAGAAGCCGACACUCAUACACAAAAGUCUAGCUCACUUGGCGAGAAGAGACAAACCAAGGUUCUUAUUGCUUAGAGAAGAAGAGAGAGGAACCGUGGAAAGGCCUAGCACAACCUGGCGCAUGAGCAACAUAAUGAACGGGUGGAAAAAAGCCUAACAAUACUUGGUGCACGGGCGUGAAAAACCUAGCAAUACAAACUGAAGCCCGCUAGAGGUGUAGGUGCUUCGGCCUGUGCAACUUUUGCGGUACGAGGGAGGCAUGCAAUUUGCGCUGAUAUAUAUCAGUUGGGAGGGAAAAAAUGUGACUGUUCCCUAAUUUUAAAACAGCUAGCUGUUAGAUAGGCACUCCAAAUUCUUAGUUGAUAGAGUAAGAUUCCUGGAAAUGUACCUUAUUUUGCAAAGUAUUGAAACUAUGGAAAAU